UCUGGCGGGGGGAUUCAGUCAGGAGAGGCGGAGGUGUUCGUCGAUCGAUUCCAACGGACCUUUCCAAGGCCGGGUCGGCGGCACGGUCUUCGUUUCACCUGACGCACUUCCUCCCGCACUAAGGACGCCGCAGCCGGUUGGGUAGCUGCGUGAGUCGGCCAUGAGGGCGGGCGCCGGCAGGUGGCCGGUGGCAGUUACUUCGGCAGCGCCGCCGGUUGUUAGCCAGCCCGUCCGUGGCGCGACACCCGACCGAGGUUAAAUGGUUCCCGUAUGGGAACUCGCCGUCCCCUUCCAUGUGGAGCGGGCGCUCUGGCAGGCAUAUCGCGGUGUUGCCGCGUCACUCUUUGUAGUGGCCGGUGCUCCGAGGUCGCUGUUGGCUGGAAGUGUUCCGCGGGGGUGCAUGCGGCUAGCGGCGAGUAGGUCGGUCACCCACCCGACCCGUCUUGAAACACGGACCAAGGAGUCUAACAUGUGCGCGAGUCACGGGGUCUUGCUUAGGCCCAAAGGCGCAAUGAAAGUGAAGGUCGACCUCGAUGUCGGCUGUGUUGGGACUCCUCGCCCUUGUGGUGGGGAAGCACCAACGACCCGUCCUAUCCGAUUUAUCGGUUGGGCGGAGUCUGAGCGUACACGUUGGGACCCGAAAGAUGGUGAACUAUGCCUGGGCAGGACGAAGCCAGAGGAAACUCUGGUGGAGGUCCGUAGCGGUUCUGACGUGCAAAUCGAUCGUCAGACCCGG
rnacentral:rRNA from 1 species